CAGAGGGUGCGAGCGUUGUCCGGAAUCACUGGGCGUAAAGGGCGCGUAGGUGGCGCGACAAGUCAGUGGUGAAAGUUCGACGCUCAACGUCGAAUCGGCCACUGAUACUGUUGGGCUUGAGCACUGUAGAGGCUAAUGGAAUUCCGGGUGUAGCGGUGGAAUGCGUAGAGAUCCGGAAGAACACCGGUGGCGAAGGCGGUUAGCUGGGCAGUUGCUGACACUGAGGCGCGACAGCGUGGGGAGCAAACAGGAUUAGAUACCCUGGUAGUCCACGCCGUAAACGAUGGGCACUAGAUGCUUGGGGGAGCGACCCCCUGAGUGUCGACGCUAACGCAUUAAGUGCCCCGCCUGGGGAGUACGGCCGCAAGGCUG
rnacentral:rRNA from 1 species